UAUUGUCAUUCUCUCUCAUCCACUUCCUCUUUAAGAAACACAUUCUCUCUCUAAUCUCUCUAAUCUCUACAUUGUCUCUCUAAUCUCUAAACUGCCAAUCUCCCUCAAAUCCUACUCUACAAUUCUCGGUAGCUUCCAAAUCAUCAAAUUAGUUCCAAAUUUUUUUUGGGUCAAGACUCGGCUGUUUCCAGAUCUCCAAGUUCAGCCCCAAGUUUUUCCAAUUUCGACUACUUCCCAGAUUCAAAAUCAAGAAGAUUCCAACAACAUCACCAAAUCAAGGUCCGGGCGACAGAAAGUGAAGCCGAAGAAGAAGUGACUCCACGCCAGCUUUAAGAACGUUUAAGGUUGAGCAGGCGAUGGAAUGGUUUGGUGUUGAGCGGGAAUUCUUUUGAAGGAUAUGUAAUGAAACCUUGAGUAUGCAUCUCCAUAUGCAUAACUCACACGUUUUUCCGCUGCAAACACUCUGAAUUUGUUAUCGUAUUGUGAAACUUAUUACUCCUUC